GGUCUAGGCAACUGGUAUGCUGUUUUAUCUUAUGAUGCAUCUGUCCGCCUAUGCCCCCACUCGUGGGCUAGGAGCUGUAUGGAGCUCCUCCCUUUUUGGAAAUUGAAUGCUCACUGCUGAGGGAUGUAUUAGGGUUAAGAAAUAUAUUAUUAAAAUCAGAGGAAAAGCUGACGAGGAAAGAUCAUUCUGAACUUGUGGGUGAAGGCGCUUACGUAAAGUCUAAGAAAACCAUCGGGAAGAUUAGAGUUCCAGUUCGUAAUGUGAAAAUGGGGACGAAGCAACCCACUGGUUUCACGUUUACAUCUUUAAAGUCUUCAUCCACGGUGAAGCUGGAAACAUUUCAGCAAAGGUUAUCAAAUGUGAAAUUGGUUGUUUCAUCCAACAAAAAGAAACAAAAAAAAGAAAAAAAAAGAAAAAAAGAAAAAAGGAAAAAAUGAAAAAAGAGAAAAAAAAAAUAAAAAAAUCUGACAUUGUAAGAGGCUCUCUUUAUUGCAUAGAAGCGUUGCACACUUAAUUGUUGGGAUUCAUGGAUACUUGAAAGAAGUACCCAUGCUCAUAAAGCGCAUCAACUUAUGAAUUGGUGCAAGAAUCAUAUUCUUGUAUGUUGAGAUUGAAAAGUUCGAUCGAAGAGGAUGCAUUGGGAAUGCAACCGGGACCUGCUUGCCAGGUGGAUUUGGAGAUGAUCUGAAUCUGAAUUAUAUUGUGGGCAUGUUCUUGUUCAGGUGGCUGACAUUUCUGAUGAAUCGGGGAAGAAGCGUGGUCAGUGUAUUAUAUCCGGGGAAAAAGAGCAUGAAAAAGCUGAGAAAAAUACAGCUAUACAUCAACUACUCAACCACUGCAGAUAAAGAUAGUUACAAGUGCAUAUCUGUAGCAGAAACUAUCGCUUAAGACUGUGUUUUGGAGACUGCGAUGAAAGGCCAACAGUUUCAGCACAGAAUCUUGUUGCUACAUGGUUCGUGGAAAUGGUUGGUGGAUUCAUUUGCAUCUUUUCUGGAGUUUUAGAUGCAUACACAAAGCUCAGAUACCUUUCAUACGUUAUGGAUAUCUCCACAGCAACAGUAGAUUAUCUUGAUUUGGUGCACGACAUUCUGCUGCCCGUGGUAAUCAAAGACAAAAAGUAAGCACACAUUGAGUCACUAAGAGGCCCGUUUUCUGGGAGAAGUUUCUGUUUCUGUUCAAAUUGAGCAGAUACUCACUCUGGUCUUGGAGAAUUUCAAGUUACUUGAUGAAUCAUCGAUGUCGGGUAUUAUAGAUGUAUUCGGACCUGCAACAGGAUUGGCUGCACCUGCACUUGAUCCUGCUUUGAAGCUCUACAAAUGGUUGCAUGAUAUUCUUUCCCCGAGAUUGCUACGAGAAAAAGGUCAAUCAGGCACUUGUUUGAAAUUGAUAAGUUCUUUUCGACUAAUAACGAAAACAUGUUAUUGGAUCCCGUGGCUGUCUCCACAGCAUAUAUGAAAGGAAAAACUAAUGCAUGGGUCUCAAGAUGUGAAGGUAGCAGUGAAAAACAAAGUUCCUCUUGUAAGGUCGUUGACUUGAGCUGUGUUACAUUCUGUAUUGAAACAAGUAACACAGCCACCAUACCUAAGGUUCACGAGGAAUAUGAUCCCUCAUUUAUUUUGGAGUGGUCUAGGCAACUGGUAUGCUGUUUUAUCUUAUGAUGCAUCUGUCCGCCUAUGCCCCCACUCGUGGGCUAGGAGCUGUAUGGAGCUCCUCCCUUUUUGGAAAAUGAAUGCUCACUGCUGAGGGAUGUAUUAGGGUUAAGAAAUAUAUUAUUAAAAUCAGAGGAAAAGCUGACGAGGAAAGAUCAUUCUGAACUUGUGGGUGAAGGCGCUUACGUAAAGUCUAAGAAAACCAUCGGGAAGAUUAGAGUUCCAGUUCGUAAAGUGAAUGGGGACGGAGCAACCCACUGGUUGCAUGUUUACAUCUUUAAAGUCUUCAUCCACGGUGAAGCUGGAAACAUUUCAGCAAAGGUUAUCAAAUGUGAAAUUGGUUGUUUCAUCCAAUAGAAAAAAAGAAAAAAAGGAAAAAAAAGAAAAAAAGGAAAAAGAAAAGAAAAGAAAAAAAGCUGACAUUUUAAGAGGCUCUCUAUAUUGCAUAGAAGCGUUGCACACUUAAUUGUUGGGACUCGUAGAUACUUGAGAGAAGUACCCAAGCUCAUAAAGUGCAUCAACUUAUGAAUUGGUGCAAGAAUCAUAUUCUUGUUUGUUGAGAUUGAAAAGUUCGCCCGAAGAUGAUUCAUUGGGAAUGCAACCGGUAUCUGCUUGCCAGAUGGAUUUGAAGAUGAUCUGAUAAUCGAAGUCCAUGAUUCGAAGGGAAAGUAUGGCGGGCAUGCUCUUGUUCAGAUGGCUGACAUUUCUGAUGAAUCGGGGAAUAAGCAUUGUCAGUGUUUUAUAUCUCGGGAACCAGAGCAAGAAAAAGCUGGGAAAAAUACAGCUAUACAUCAAAUAUUCAACCACUGCAGAUGAAAGUAGUUGCAAGGUAUGCAGAUGAAUAUAGUUACAAGAUAUAUGCAGAUGUUUUAUAGUUCAUGCUUAACGCCUAUUUCGUACAAAAUCAAGAUUCCAUCCUUCGGCGAGAGUGGCAUGACUAACUAUGUGUUAUGUCUAGUGCACAUACAUCUGUAGUAGAAAAUAUAGCUUACGACUAUGUUUUGGAGACUGCGAUGAGAGGCCAACAGUUUCAGCAAAGAAACUUGUUGUUGCUACAUGGUUUGUUGAUGAAUUUGGCGUUUUAGAUGCAUACACAAAAGCUCAGGUAUCAUGAUUUUGCAUUGCUGGUUACCUGGAACGGCUAUAUAUGUUUCCACUAUUGUAAAACGCAUUCUUACUCUUCGAUCGUUUAGAUACCUUUCAUACGUUAUGGAUUUCGCCACACCAACAGCAGAAUGUCUUGACUUUGUGCACCACUUUCUGAUUGAAUGUCUUGAUUGUUUUACUUAUCAGGUCCGUUUUCUGGGGGAAGUUUCUGUUCAAAUUGAGCAGAUACACACUCUGGUCUUUGAGAAUUACCAGGCACUUGAAGAAUCAUCCACUUGAUGAAUAUUAAAGAUGUAUUGAAGCUCUACAAAUGGUUGCAUGAUAUUCUUUCACCCGAGGUUCUUAGUGAAGGCCUAUCAUGGAUGGUUUCUGCAGUGGAUGACUUUGGUACUUCUCAUAUUAAGCUGAAGCUUUAGGAAGGUUGAUAAAGUAACUGAUUCUACAUCAACUGCGGUGAGUGGUGGCAUCACUGGCAUGGAUGGUCUUCCACGUCAAGAUAUCAGUGAAAAGACUACCCCCCCCCCGUUAAAAGGCUUAGAGGGUUCUGAUUUGAAGUGUAGGUCCGUUUGGAAUCUAUUGAAAGUGUGACCAAAAUUCUGGAAGAGGCGAACAAACCUAUUCUGCCUGCUGGAACUGGAGAUCUAUUUGGAGCUCUAAAAGGGAGUCCACACGACAGUAACAACAUUUUUUUUAUUAUUGCUACUUUGUCCACAAUCGGUACUCUUACGACUGCAAUGGACUGCCAGUUGAGAAGUCAGGCAAGGGCAUUCUUUCAGAUGCCUUGAAAUGCCUUGGCGACACAAAAAGCAUAUGAUUGAGUGUACAAUGAGAGUACCAAUGCUUGGUGCUGCUCAUCUCGAUAAAAUGGUCUGUAGUCAUUUUAGAAAAUAGUGUUUUUCGACUUCCUGCUUUGAGUAUUGUUAACCUCACGCUUGCUGAUGUCUUUAGCGUUUAGCUACCAUAUAUUAUUCUCUCAGACGCUGAAAUAGGCAUAGAAGGGCGCAGGGAUCUUUUUAAAUGGCUAUCAAGAAGACAACUUACCGGAUUGGAUAAAUAAGCAGAUGGUUGUAAAGCGGCUGAAGCAUGCUUUAAUGAAAUAUUGAGAGGGUUUAUGGACAAGAAACGCUGUUAUUAGCAAACGACUGAAGCCAUAUGGAGCUCUUCAAGGUAUUAUGCUACUUACAUUUAACUCAUUCAUCUCCUAGUAAAAAAAUAUAUUUAUGUUUUUCCACUUUUCCAUAUCAUUAUAUUGAUUUUUUUCGUGCCACAUCCAUUGCAGAUAAUUAUGAAUCUGGUAGAUCUGUUUCGUCAAGGUUAUCAGGUCAUAGCAAUUGCCACAACUGAAGGAUUCAAGAAUGAAGCUAAAAACAUGCUAGUUGCAUCUGGUAACAUUGAACAUGAUGGAUAGACAACGACGUGAAGAGGAGUUGAAAGGAAUGGAAGUUGUCUUCUUAUUUAAUGAAUGUCCAUGGCCAUAAAAUUGCUUGCUAUACCCAUGGGAUGAAAAAUGGUUGAUGUUAUUUCCUCUAAUUGCUUGGCGGGGGUACACAUCUUUUCAUAAGGAUGAGGGCCAUCGAAAUUCCAUGGCUUCUUCUCCUCCGAUGUUCAGUCCUUUUCGAUAACCGUUUUCGGAGUAACUCUUACCAGCCGCAUCGACAUGCUUCGUGAGAACCGGAAGCCAAAAAGGUAUUUUGAGAGCUAAUCUACUCACACCCACAAUUAGAUAUGCAGUGGCAUUGUGCUGUCAAUACAAUCUGCCUCGUCAGGUAUUGGAUAUAGGCCUCCUUACCCUUGGACAAUGGGAAUUCUUUGUUUCUUGCUGAGAUUUAUGCAAUGCCGUACAUGAAGAUGAUCCUCAAAUUUUAGAUUGAGGUAAUUCUAUAUUAUUUGGUUGCUUCAGUUUUCUAUUUUUAUUCAAUGGUACUAUUGGAGGUUGAUUUUGUAAUCACGAUAAUAGUAUGCUACACCUAGCCCUCAUUCAUACGGAACUUUGACCGGGGAUGACAAGUGAGUUAGCUUAGGAUAUUCUGACCAGCUUCCUUAUGCUCAAGGCCUUUUACAAGGACAAUCAGAAUAUGCAGUACAACAACUAAUAUUGAAAACCAAAUGGUUGUCAAUAAGAAGCUUUAUACUAUGGCUUCAUUCCAGUUAUAUGUUUUCUUUUUUUUUCAGUGCCGGUUGCCAUGGAUAGACA